AAUCCCCCCGGGGCCUGCACGCGUUGAGCGUGAUAACAUUUUUAUGAAUUUUUUUACAUUUAUUGGUCAGUGUUUUCAAGCAAGAUUUUGGCUUCUGUCUCUGCUUUUUGUUAUUAUAAAAUCUUUAGAAAAUUAUUGUUUUCUACUUGAGUUUUAGAUCCGAUUCGAAUUGAAUUCGCAUUCCGAUUUCAAACGGAAGUUAUUCCUCAAGAAAAUGAAUAGAAUGCAAAGAUUCUGUAAAACAAUUCAAGGAAAUAUAAGUUCCUUGGUUUCCUGAGAAUUCGUUAUGACAGCGGUAAAUAGUUCAACUGGAAAAUGUUGUAUGAUAUUUUGUAUCUGGUCGAAAGUAGUCAUUUGUAAGUGCGCAAUUUGUGUAAACGCAGGCAGCUAAAACGUGUAUAAAAUUACUUUUGAAAAGCUUCUUUUUGUUAAAGCGAUACCUCGUGGAAAAGUGUUAACCGAAGAAGAAAAAGUAUCACUUGCCAGAAUGGAAAAUUCGGGCUACACAUUGAGAGUGAUGGCGAAGGAAAUUGGUGGAUCCAACGGAGUUGUGCAGAAAUUCUUUAGAUUGAAGGGAAAAUACGGUACAAAAAAGCGUCCGCGUGGAAAUAAAAAAAAAAAAUCGGAAAAGAGAGAUCGUCUUGCUACUAGAAAUAAAGUCAGCUCGUGUCGGAACUACUUCUUUCUAUUAAAAAGAGACGGGUGCAGCAGAUUUUGCAUGCUAACAACAGCAUUAAAUACAAAAAGCCUGCUAAAGCCCCUCAGAAACACCGACACAUAAAGAGGCUCGUCUCAAACUAGCUAGAUCGUGGAUAAAAUGGGAAGAAGAAUGGAAGGUAGUAUUUUUUGCGGAUGAGAAGAAAUUCAACCUUAAGGGCCCAGAUGGAUUUAGCGGAUUUUAGCACGAUCUAAAAAACAUUUUUUUUUCCUCGAAUGAGUCACAACUUUGGUGGUGGCAGUGUUAUGGUUUGGGGGGCAUUUUCUUUUCACGGCAAGCUGCGACUGGGAAUCGUAACAACCAAAAUGAACUUAUUACUUUAAACUGAGCUUCUGGAAGCCAUUUUGAUGCCGUAUUUAGAUGAGAAUAAUAACAUUGACUGGACUUUCCAAUCGGACAACGCCGCAGUACAUGGUUCUGCAUACACGAAGUCAUUUUUAAAUGAUAAACAAACAAAACUUUAAAAUGCUGGGAGCAAAUUGAAGAAAAUACUUUAAAAAAUUUAAUAGCCUCAAUGCCAAAUCGAAUUUUUGAAGUCAAUAUAAGUAACUAGCCAAUAUGCGUUUAUUUAUUUCAAUAGGCUUAAGAGUGUA